rnacentral:rRNA from 1 species
AUUGCACGCUGGCGGCAGGCCUAACACAUGCAAGUCGAACGAGUGGCGGACGGGUGAGUAAUGUCUGGGAAACUGCCUGAUGGAGGGGGAUAAAUACUGGAAACGGUAGCUAAUAACGCAUACCAUCAGAUGUGCCCAGAUGGGAUUAGCUAGUUGGUGGGGUAACGGCGCACCAAGGCGCAGAUCCCUAGCUGGUCUGAGAGGAUGACCUGCCACACUGGAACUGAGACACGGUCCAGACGCCUACGGUAGGCAGCAGGGGGGAAUAUUGCACAAUGGGCGCAAGCCUGAGGCAGCCAUGCCGCGUGUAUGAAGAAGGCCUUCGGGUUGUAAAGUACUUUCAGCGUGGAGGCGUUACCCGCAGAAGAAGCACCGGCUAACUCCGUGCCAGCCGCCGCGGUAAUUC